UCUUUUUCCGGUUUUGCCCCUACGGGCUUUCUAGUGUCUAAUAGAAUAUAGGGGUAGUUUAGUCUUUUAGUCUAGAGUUAGUGGGCGAUAAAUAUCUCUCUCCCUCCCCACUCUCUCUCUCUUUUCACCUGUGCAUCACGCCACCUCUUCUGGUCCUGGCGUUCUUCUCCUCCCUGUCCCUCUUCUCCUCCUCUCUAGGGUUAGGAAAUUACCAUGGAUCAUUGAGUUUUGUAGGGAGAUUGGAUGGAAUGGAGGCCCUAUCCUCCUGUGCCCUCCGGGGUUUUUGAUUCAUCUAUUUUGGCUGUGAUUUUUGUUCCCCGUGUGGUUCUUUGUGUGCUGGAAUUUUGUUUUCCUCCUCCCAUUUUUGUUCCUGCGCAGAGGACCUUGGUUGCUGGGCUUGGCGUGGCUUUGGGCAGGUGCAGCGCGCUGCCUACUCCAGGCUGGGAGCAGAGGCGCUUGGGCACUUGGGUUGCAGCGCAGCAAGGCAAUCUAGAAGGGGCACGCAGUGCCUGGGUGCGCGCGCAAGGGAGCGAUCCAGCAGGCUGAUUCAGCUCGGCCUGGGGGCAGGUCACCGGCACAGCAGCUCGUGGCCUAGCAGGUAAAUCGAAGGUGCAGCUCGCCCAGGGAGGCACAGCAGAAGGCAAGCGAGCGCACAGCAGGGAGGCAGUAACCGGCAGGAAUCACCAAGCUUUUGAACAGCAGCUAUUUCUCCACGCCCGCAAGGUGUUCGAAGGUUUGCUUCACCGGUCUUUUCUUUUUCCGUUAAUUUUGUUAGAUUUGUCCUAGGCUUUAGUCAUGCACCUAAUCACUUUCCCGUAGUUUGCUCUUUCUGUAGCUUUUGAAGUUUUGCUGUAGAAUUAAAUUUCUUGCUCUUGGCCAUAAUUAAUUUCCCGCUUAAUUAGAAUCAGAAAAACCUCUAAAAAUUAGUUGCUAGCCUUUUAAUCUUGCCUACUAGCAUGCUAGGGUUAGAUUAGUUUUUACUUGAGCAUUUAAUUUAGUUUUUGUUCGACUAACCUUCUCGUUUUGGUCUGUUCUCGUUUUGCCUGGUUUCAACUCGUUUUGCUUUCGGAUUGCGUGUGUUCUCAGGUUUUGCUUCCGCAAGAGUUUUGCGACACUCCGAUUGUGUUCCUAGCACUAGCAGCUUGUCUAUGCUGCGUAGUAUUGGCACAUUUUAGGAGCAGUGGUGUGGUGUUUGAAUCGGGAUUUUUUUUCUUCGAUUUUCGGAUCAAAUUUGAGGCUCCCAUUCAACCCCCCCUUCUGGUCGCCUGUCCGGUCCUUCAGAGAGAGAGUACAGCACGUAAGGGGGCAGGCGGGCACCUAGUCUUGAAGCGUUGAGCGGGGAUGAGGCGGGGGCAGAGCCAUCGACCGCGAGGGCGGCUGCUGCGAGCACCGCGAGUGGCGCGGCGAGGUGUGCCAGGGCCGCAAGCGCGACGCAGGCGGUGAAGAGGAAGACCACGAACAGUUGGUGUUCACAGUGACAAUGUGCAUUAUAGAGACCCCGGCAAUCUAUAACUGAAAACCUUUUGGUGUUCCUUAACUGAUGUGAUAACUCAAAGCCUGUUCUUUAUAACUGAAGUGAUAAUUGAAAUAUUGUUGGUGUUCCUUUUUCUAAGUGCGCUAGGCAGCAGGGGAAGAACGUAUGGUUAGGAUCUAAUUUUGUACUUAAGAUCAAACGGCUAAAAUAAAAAUGAUGAUGUGGCUCAAUGUGGUUGCAGGAAAAUCAGAGUUAAUGAUGUUUAGUGGGUUCCAUCUAUAUAGGAUAUAUAGAUAUAGAUUGGUAGGAUUGAAUUAUUGAAGGAAAAGCUGACGACCCUGGAGAAGUGGUGGAGUUCAGACCUCGGCUGCCAAUACUGUGUCAUCCUCCUCGGGGCUGGCCCAGCCGAAAAGAGCUGCCAUGGCUUCAACAUGAACUGAGAGGCUCCAAAACAACAUGCUUCUGGUUCCACUCCAGUAAUCCGAUGGCUGCCGUGGGGGAACUGCCGGAGCACGGGCAUGGGAGCUGAAUCUAUUGGCCCUCGGAGUUGGUAAGAUUCUGGCCAUCUUCUAGGAAAGCUACAACAAUAAUUGAGCCUGCUUGCUGGAGGGAGGACUGCUUGCACGCCUUGUUGUUGCAAAUCCACUGGAGGUGCAGCAGUAGAGCCCGCAGCUAAAGAUUGCCUCUUUGAUUUCCGAAAUGCAAGGGAUGUCGGUUGCUUGGGUCUGUGGAGGAUAUUCAAGGCAUUGGGGAGCCAGUCACUGCAGGCCCGUUCAAUUCUAAUUUGAUGGUAAUAGAGUGCAUUGGGUACACUCCACUAAACUUCUGGUCAUGGUCGAAGUGGAUAGUUACUAAUGGGUUCGAUGAUCAUACUGACGCCGCCAUCACUAUUAAGGAUGUGAAGUUCUUUCUAAAGGAGCUGAAAACGAAAUGACACUGAUAUCAAUAUGUAGGCCCACCGAGCGGAGGCAUUUCGUCAUAAAUUUGUGACUAAAAUCAUUACUCUUGUUAAGAGUUCGAUGUGUUGAAUAUCAACUGUUCUUCUCCUUUUGCAUGCCAUGUAUAUUAAACUAAAUACAAGAGUUGCAUGGCCAUGCAUGAGUUCAAUGCAUUGCUACAUGUAAUCGGAUAUCUAGCGCAGGUUGCCACAAUUUUGGAAGAAUAGCUUCGCAAAUCUCGGCCAGAAUCGGAAGAGGCAGCAACGCUCUGGCAUCAGGUUGGGUCAAGGUUCCCUCUGGAUAUGCUUAGUAACGGGUCAUGAUCCGGACGGACGCUCCUGCUCUUCGCGGUCAAUUUUCUAUAGAAAUUGUUCAUGUUGCAACAUCCUUUUCUAUCAAGAUUCAACUGCUCUCUGGCUAGAUUCGUGUGGGCCUGUCUCAGAGAGGUGUUUGGAGACGAUAUGACCAGUUUUUGGGAAGAGCUGCUUUGGGGGCAAGCUCACGGGCAUGCUUAAAACUAACUUGAGGCUGUGCCUCUUCCUUUUUGCAGGGAUUGCUUGGUCAAUCUUGAGAACACGAAAUAAGAUGUCAAUUGAAAGACAUUCUCUGAAAACCCUAUUGAUGUCAUAUAGUCUGGUGUAUCUUUUGUGCAGAAAUGGUGGACAUCCUUUUCUAUAAACAUAAGCAGCCCUUUUGGCCUUCAGCG